rnacentral:rRNA from 1 species
CCUACGGGGGGCAGCAGUGGGGAAUAUUGGACAAUGGGGGCAACCCUGAUCCAGCCAUGCCGCGUGUGUGAAGAAGGCCCUCGGGUUGUAAAGCACUUUCAGUGAGGAAGAACGCCUGGUGGUUAAUACCCAUCAGGAAAGACAUCACUCACAGAAGAAGCACCGGCUAACUCCGUGCCAGCAGCCGCGGUAAUACGGAGGGUGCGAGCGUUAAUCGGAAUUACUGGGCGUAAAGCGCGCGUAGGUGGCUUGAUAAGCCGGUUGUGAAAGCCCCGGGCUCAACCUGGGAACGGCAUCCGGAACUGUCAAGCUAGAGUGCAGGAGAGGAAGGUAGAAUUCCCGGUGUAGCGGUGAAAUGCGUCGAGAUCGGCAGGAAUACCAGUGGCGAAGGCGGCCUUCUGGACUGACACUGACACUGAGGUGCGAAAGCGUGGGUAGCAAACAGGAUUAGAUACCCGGGUAGUC